rnacentral:lncRNA from 1 species
UCCGGCUACUAUCCUCCAACUUCAGCCACGUGUAUCCAUAAUUGAUUCCUCCCUCUUUACCAAAUUUCCGAUUUCAGUUACGAGCCCUAGCUUGGCAAGAUUGUUUCUUUCACCUCCCUCAAGCUCGAUGCUCUGAUUCAUUACAAUACCCCCUCCCAAAGGGAAUCCUUGUCCGCAAAGAUUAAAAGACGGAAACUUGUGGUGUAUGAACUUCACAUCUUCCCAGGUUGCACGGUCGGCGCCUCUGUUAACCCACUAUACCAAGACUUGAGAAACUAACUGCCCCUUCCGUUCGACAGACCGGUGGUCUAAAACAGUAGAAGGUUCGACCGUAUAGGAGCCAUCAUCAUCUAUAACAGGCAGAGUAGAUUCAGGUACAACCUUCUCUCCUACACAUUUCUUGAGUAAGGAUACAUGAAAAACAUGAUGUAUCUUCGAGGAGUCCGGCAGAUCUAACUUGUAAGCUACAUUCCCUAUUUUUUCAAGAAUAGUGUAGGGGCCGUAGUAUCGAGCUGACAACUUCAAAUUCCUUCGUAAGGAAACCGAAUUCUGACGAAAAGGUUGGAGUUUGAGGUACACUCGAUGCCCAAUCUGAAAGACCCUUUCUUGACGGUACGUGUCAGCGUAGAAUUUCAUCCGACUCUGUGACCCUUUCCUCUAGUACCUCUUUAGCUUCGAAAGUGACCAUAUCCAAGUAAGGUCCAAGACCCAAUUGAGUAGGAGGGAAACCAUAAAGAGCCUGAAAUGGUGUGCACUUCAAACUACUAUGAUAAUUGGUAUUAUACCAAUAUUCGGCUAGAGAUAACCACUUUGCCCACUGCUUAGGCGUAGAGCUAGCCAUGCACAUCAAGUAUGCCUCCAAACACUGGUUGAGCCUCUCCGUUUGUCCAUCGGUCUGUGGGUGAUAAGCCGAGAACAUAUCUAGGGAAGUCCCCAUUAAUUUGAAAAGUUCCUUCCAAAAAUUGCUAGUAAAUACCUUAUCACGGUCCGAAACUAUACUCACAGGUGGACCAUGUAGUUUAUAGAUAGUAUCAAGGAAGAGUUUGGCCACUGACUGCGCUGCGUAGGGGUGAGAUAGGGCUAUAAAAUGCCCAUACUUCGUAAACCUAUCCACAACCACCAAAUGACAUCCUUACCUGUUGUCGCAGCCCGCAGACCCGACACUAGUAAUAGUGGGGUACGAGUAUCGAUACGACUAUUUUUAAAGAAUAAAAGAUAAGAAGAACUAGGUGAACGUCAUGCGGAAGCUCACGUAAAAGCAUGCUAAGGAAAAACUUCAUAAAACUAGCCCAAGGGUAAAAUCGUCAACAUUGUCAUAACUUUUUAAUUAUUAGGAAUUUCACGAACAAAAACAAAACGCGUAUAGUUCAUUUUUCAUAAGGAAGCAAAAUUUGCAGAGUAUCGCAGCAAAAGGCGAACCGAUUAUAUGUAUGAAGACACAUAACCGUGAGUGUAUUGCUUGAUCUCAAAAGAAACUAAGUAAUUCNCAAACACUGGUUGAGCCUCUCCAUUUGUCCAUCGGUCUCUGGGUUAUAAGCCGAGGACAUAUCUAGGGAAGUCCCCAUUAACUUGAAAAGUUCCUUCCAAAAAUUGCUAGUAAAUACCUUAUCACGGUCCGAAACUAUACUCACAGGUGGACCAUGUAAUUUAUAGAUAGUAUCGAGGAAGAGUUUGGCCACUGACUGAGCUGUGUAGGGGUGAGAUAGGGCUAUAAAAUGCCCAUACUUCAUAAACAUGUCCACCAACCACCAAAAUGACAUCCUUACCUGUAGACUUUGGUAGUCCCUCAACAAAAUCUAAAGAAAUGUGAGUCCAAGCUUGAUGUGGAAUGGGUAGGGGUUGUAGCAACCUCGGAUAAAGACCUCCAUCCCCUUUGUGCCGCUGACAAACAUCACACUCCUUAACAAAAUUGAUAACAUCACUCUUCAUUUUAGGCUAGUGAAAAUAACUCUUGAGCCGCAUAUAUGUACCUUGCACCCCCGAAUGCCCCCCAAAAGGGGUAUUGUGUACUUCAUUGAGUAAAUUAGCCCAUAAAGUUGAAUCUGAACCAACCACCAACCUUCCCUUAUAUCGAAGAAUGUCACUUGCCAAGUGGUACUCCUCAUAAGCACUGUUGUCAAUUAACUUGGCUGCUAAUAUCUUAGUGAUAUAUGUGUCUGCUUGAUAACUCUUGAGUAAUUCUCUGGGUCCACUUAGGCACAGCUGUGGCUAUAGCUGAACAUUCCAUAUUUGUAACUCCAUACCUUGAGAGGGCGUCAGCAGCCUUGAUCUCCACCCCUUUUUCGUAGUGAAUAUCAUAAGUUAGCCCCAACAACUUAGUUAACCACCUUUGCUGGACGGGAUUGAUGGUUUUCUGGUCAAGCAAAUGUUUUAAUGCUUGUUGAUCUAGUUUGAUAAUAAAAUGAUGCCAUUUUCACUUUUGAACAGCCAUAACCACUGCAAGAAAUCCCUUUUCAUAUAUAGAAAGUGCUUGAUUCAUUGGGCAUAAUAUUUUGCUCAUAUAAGCAAUAGGUCGUUGCUCCUGCAUCAGCACUGCCCCAACUCCAUACCUACUAGCAUCAGUUCAAGCACAAAGGGUUUGGUGAAUUUUGGAAGAGCUAAAAUAGGGGCUGAGGCCAUGGCAUCCUUGAGCUGGUUAAAUGCUGCUUCUGCCUCAAGAUUCCAAUUAAAGUUGUCCUUCUUUAGUAAUGUAGUGAGGGGCCUACUGAUCAUUCCAUACCCACUUAUGAAUUUUCUAUAAUACCCAGUCAACCCUAGGAAGCCUCUCAAUUGUUUCACUGUUUUUGGAGUGGGCCACUGUUUCAUGCAAGAAAUCUUUUCUGGAUCAGUGGAUACUCCUAAAGGUGUAAUAACAUGACCCAAGUACUCAAUCUUCUAUUGACCAAACUAACACUUACUCCUCUUAGCAUAGAGGGUGUGCUGCCUUAGGAGAUCCAACACCUCCCUAAGAUGUAUCAAGUGGUCCUCCCAGCUUUUACUAUAGACCAGAAUAUCAUCAAAAAACACAAGGACUAAUUUCCUUAGGUGUUCCUGAAACACCCUAUUCAUGAGAGGUUGGAAUGUGGCAGGGGCGUUGCAAAGGCCAAAGGGCAUUACCAGAAAUUCAUAGUGCCAUUGAUGUAUGCUGAAUGCAGUAAGAUGCCUAUCAGAAGAAGUAACCAAGAUCUGGAAAUAGCUAGACCUCAAGUCCAACUUAGAGAAAUAUUAUGCUCCGAAUAACUCAUCUAACAAUUCAUCUAUAAGAGGUAUAGGGUAGUCAUGCUUGACUGUAAGUGAGCUUAGGUACCUGUAGUCUACACACAAUCUCUAGGUAUUAUCCUUCUUUUUUACCAAAAUAACCAGAGCUGCAAACGAACUCCUGCUGUGUUGUAUGAUGCCCUUCUUCAACAUGUUACUGAUUAUUUUUUCAAUUUCAUCCUUGUGGCUAUGUGAUGUCCUGUAUGGGUGUUGUUGCCUUGGUAUACUGUUUCGCUUUAACAUGAUCUGGUGCUCUACUCCUCGAGCAGGUGGAAGGCCCUGGGGCUCUUCAAACACAUCAAUGUAGGCAUCUAACAAAGUAGUAAGGUGUUGGGACUCACUGUGGUCAUGUGAUGGGAAACUUAUGAGGUAUAUCUCAUCCACUUCUUCUAUGCCCUUGUGUAUCGAAUUGUAAAGGGUUGUAGCAGUGAUUAGUUGACACUCAGUAGUACUUGUGAUAGCCUGCAAUUUCACCCUCUUUCCCUUCAGCUGCACAGUAACUAUCAUUUUGUUGUAAUCUAGCCCAAUAGGAGUGCAAAGCUUUAGCCAAUCCCCUCAUAGGAUUAGAUCAUACCCCUCAUUAGCCAAAAUCCUCGGUGAGAAUGUAAAUUGUUGUCCUUGUACACUCCACUGGAAAUUAGUGGCCGUUUGGGUACUAACCAACUUUUGUCCAUUGUCCACCUUGACUAGGAUGGGUUUCUCACUCUCCAACCUACUUCUCAACUGAUGCAGCCCGAGCAAAGCCAAACUCGCACCAGAACAGAGUUAAACUCAUCAGAGCUGAAUGCGCCAAAACAGAGCCAAGCUCGCCAGAGCUGAAGUCGGAAUGCCAGAGCAGACUUGCAGACUAGAGCAAGCAGAGUAGACUUGAAGAGCAGAGUAGACAUGCAGAGCAGAUUAUAGCAGAGCAGAGCAUACCUGCAGAGCAUAGCAGAGCAGAAUGCCAGAGCAGACUUGCAGAGCAGAGCAUACUUGCAGAGCAGAGCAGACCUGCAGAGCAGAAUGCCAGAGCAGAGCGAACUUCCAGAACAGAGCAGAAUAAGCUUCCAGAGCAGAGCUGAAGUGUAGAGCAGAGCUACCGUUCAGAGCAAAGCUGAAUUGUAGAGCAGAGCAAUUCUGCAGAGCAGAGCAAAUCUGCAGAGCAGAGCUGAGGGUCAGAGCUGAACGUCAGAACUGGAGUUCAGAGCUGGAGUUCAAAGCUGGAGUUCAGAGCUGAAGAUCAACGCUGAAAUUCAGAGUUGGAGUUUCAGAGCUGGAGUUCAGAGCUGCAAGUUUCAGAGCUGGCAUUCUCGCCAGAGUUAUGCUUUUCAUCGCGCCUUUCCUUCAGAGCUGACGCAUACCAGGCCUGCAGCGUACAGAGCUGGUUUCUCACUAGGGUUUUGGCUUGAUGAGCAAGUUUUUGAGUUUCUUUUGUUCACGUUUAUUUCCUUCUUUACAUUAGGGUUUUCUUGUUACAUAUAAAUAUGAAC